rnacentral:tRNA from 1 species
GCGUCGGUGGUAUAACGGUUAGCAUAGCUGCCUUCCAAGCAGUUGACCCGGGUUCGACUCCCGGCUUCACGCG